rnacentral:rRNA from 1 species
UACGGGGGGGGCAAGCGUUGUUCGGAUUUACUGGGCGUAAAGGGUUCGUAGGUGGCCUACUAAGUCAGACGUGAAAUCCCUCAGCUUAACUGGGGAACUGCGUCUGAGACUGGUGGGCUUGAGUGCAGGAGAGGAACGCGGAAUUCCAGGUGUAGCGGUGAAAUGCGUAGAUAUCUGGAGGAACACCGGUGGCGAAGGCGGCGUUCUGGACUGCAACUGACACUGAGGAACGAAAGCCAGGGGAGCAAACGGG